rnacentral:rRNA from 1 species
GCUGGCGGCAGGCCUAACACAUGCAAGUCGAGCGGUAACAUUUCUAGCUUGCUAGAAGAUGACGAGCGGCGGACGGGUGAGUAACGCGUAGAAAUCUUCCUAGUAGUGGGGGAUAGCCCAGAGAAAUUUGGAUUAAUACCGCAUACGCCCUACGGGGGAAAGCGGGGGAUCUUCGGACCUCGUGCUAUUAGAUGAGUCUGCGUCGGAUUAGCUUGUUGGUGAGGUAAUGGCUCACCAAGGCGACGAUCCGUAGCUGGUCUGAGAGGAUGACCAGCCACACUGGAACUGAGACACGGUCCAGACUCCUACGGGAGGCAGCAGUGGGGAAUAUUGCACAAUGGGCGCAAGCCUGAUGCAGCCAUGCCUCGUGUGUGAAGAAGGCCUUAGGGUUGUAAAGCACUUUCAGCAGUGAGGAAAGGGGUGUCGUUAAUAGCGCCAUCCUGUGACGUUAACUGGAGAAGAAGGACCGGCUAACUCCGUG